UCACGCGAGAGAGACGGCACGAUUUCUUCCCCCAGCCGCAGGAAAAUUACGUAAAACGUGCCGCCAUUCGCGGAGAUGCGGUCACGAGUAGCCAAUCAUGUGACCGCGGGUCACGAGUUAUGAGUCACACAUUACGAAGCUGUUUUUCCUGCGGGGCUCCGGCGGAUUGGUUCGGACGCCGGCUAUGGUUCGACGGUGUGAUACAAACAAAUUAUAAUGUCAUUUGUGAUGAUGUAACGGUGUAAUUGUGUCGAUUUUCAACGCACAAUUACCACAGUGAAAUUGUUUAUUCCAGGAAUUUUUUUUAUUGUCCUGUAUCAUAAGUGCAGAAGUUCGAAUAACUUUGAAAAUAAUAUAGAAGAGUCCAGAAGGGUUGGCAACAAUUCGGGUUUCCCCGAAUAUGUGCUAGUUUCACAUAUUAAUUAAUUCAGAAAUUAACUUAAUAUCUAAUAUAUGUACAAAAAAUGUCAUAGUAACAAAAAUUAAAAAAAAAACUAAUGUUAUAAUAUUUGUAUUUGAGGUAUGUAGUAGUCAAUUUCAUAUUAAUAUAUGUACAAAAAUUAA